UCUGCAAUACACAAGAGCCAAAAUCUUGAAAACUGAAUUCUUAUGUACACAGCAGCAGUUCAAACAUCCACAUACUGUCCAACUAAAUGUGCAUCAACCUUGCUCUGGCAGGACCACUUCUUGGAGGUGAGAAGGUAGUUCAUUAUUCUUGUCCAGACAGUCCUUAGUCUUCC
rnacentral:sRNA from 1 species